rnacentral:misc_RNA from 1 species
GUUGUUAAAACUGUUGUUGAGGCUGAUUUAGUUGCUCUGAACAAUGGUGAGAGCACCAAUGCAAAGAAUGGCGAGGCAGGGCGCGAUGCUGAUUUGAUCAACUCAUAGGCUAUGCUCUAUCAAACAACUCUCUGCAUCUUGUGCACCAAUAUCAUGUAAACUUUUUACCUAUGUGUUCUAUCAUUUAUGGUGUUCUAUUCUUUCAAGGGAACUCCAUGGAGCAAAGAUAGAGAAAGUUCUUGAUCCUAUUUCUAGGACAUGUCAAAAUUUAAGUGUUGAAACUUCGUUAAUUUUGUUAUACUGCUUCAAAUGUU